UGUAAAACCCCGUUUGUGAAAGAAAUGUAAUGUAAAUGUGAGGUUAUCAUGUUGUAUAAAUUGAGAGAGUAAGUUAUAAAGAAUGUAUGUAUUUCCUAUGUGAAAUGUGAUGUAAUAGAUAGGGGUGGAAACGAGCCGAGCUCGAGCGAGCUUACCUCAGCUCAAGCUUGGCUUGAAAUUAAUUUCGAGCCUAAAUUUAGGCUCAAGCUCGGCUUGAAAUUAAUUCGAGCCGAGCUCGAGCGAGCCUAAUUUCGAGUCGAGCGAGCUCGAGCCCUAAACGAGCUGCUUGAAAUUCUUAACAUCGUGCAAUCUAUAGUUUAAUUUUUAUUAUCUAAAAUUCGAUACAAA
rnacentral:lncRNA from 1 species